rnacentral:rRNA from 1 species
UACGUAGGGCGCAAGCGUUGUCCGGAAUUAUUGGGCGUAAAGAGCUCGUAGGCGGCCUGUUGCGUCCGCUGUGAAAUCCCGGGGCUCAACCCCGGGCCUGCAGUGGAUACGGGCUGGCUAGAGGCAGGCAGGGGAGAACGGGAAUUCCUGGUGUAGCGGUGAAAUGACGCAGAUAUCAGGAGGAACACCGGUGGCGAAGGCGGUUCUCUGGGCCUGUACUGACGCUGAGGAGCGAAAGCGUGGGGAGCGAACAGG